UGUACAGAUGGGGUCUCGCUAUGUUGCCCAGGCUGGUCUCAAACUCAGAUCCUCAAGCGAUCCUCCUUCCUUGGCCUCCCAAACUGCUGAGAAGUGGUCUCACUUUGUCACCCAGGCUGGAAUGCAGUAGUACAAGCAUGGCUCACUGCAGCCUCAACCUGUCAGGCUCACGCAAUCCAAGCUAUCCUCCCACCUCAGCCUCUUGAGUAGCUGGGACUACAAGUGCCUGCCACAUCUAAUUUUUUGUAUUUUUUGUAGAGAUGGAGUUUUGCCAUGUUGCCCAGGCUGGUCUCGAACUUCUGAGCGCAAGUGAUUCAUCUGCCUUAGCCUCCCAAAGUGCUGGGAUUACAGGCGUGAGCUACUUUUUUUUUUUAAACAGAUAAUCAACAGGGCCAAAGCAAUUAAGUCAUUUUCCCAGUCACUUGGCCAAUAAGCAGCAAGUCAAUGACCAGAACAAAUUAUACAACUUUCAUCUUCCCAUAACUGAUCUAAGCCUACCAAAAAAACGGAUGAGACUAGACAGAAGAAACAGUGUCACCUUCAUCCCCGGUCAUCUAGUCAAGAACUACGCAAAAGCCAUAUGUAACAGAAAUCUAGGACCACAGGCUACAGUGCCAUGGCACAAACAUGGCUCAAUGCAGCCUCAACAGCUUGGGCUCAAGCAAUUCUCCCACCUCAGCCUCCAGAGUAGCUGGGGCUACAGGCAUAUGCGCCACUGUGCCUGGCUAAUUUUUUUUUUAAACAGGGUCUUGCCAUGUUACUCAGACUGGUCUCAAACUCCUAGGCUCAAGCAAUCCUCCCACCUUGGCCUCCCAAGGUGCUGGGGUUACAUGCAUGAGCCACCAUGCCCGGCCAUAUAUCCUACUAUUCUUUAAGAUUCAG
rnacentral:lncRNA from 10 species